UUUAUUAUGAUUUCUUUUUCGCCUUUCCGUUGAGAUAUUUUGAUUAAAAUAAUAAUUAUGGGGUCGGCUGCUUAAUUUGUUAACAUUGGGUAUGGGGUCUCUGUCCAACACGUCGCCGAUGGCACAACUCUCUCACUUCUGUCUUGCUCUUCUGCCUCCUUCAGCUUCGUCUGCUCCUUUUUGUCUGCAAUUUCACCCACGAAUUUCUUUUCCGACUCCGUCUUUUCAAAUUCGAGCAUGUUCUUCUUCGUCUUCAACUUCUAUUUCAGCUGCAAAGCCGAAAGUCGUCGUCACAAGAGAACGAGGCAAAAAUGGCAAGCUCAUUAAAGCUCUGGCCAAACAUGGUAUCAAUUGCUUGGAGCUUCCUCUAAUUCAGCAUACUGAAGGACCUGAUUUGGAUAGACUCCCUUCUGUAUUAAGUAAUACUUCAUUUGACUGGGUUGUCAUAACUUCCCCUGAAGCGGGUUCGGUGUUUCUGGAGGCAUGGAAGGCAGCUGGUACCCCAAAUGUUAAGAUAGGGGUUGUAGGAGCAGGUACAGCGAGCAUUUUUAAUGAAGUGGUACAAUCAUCAGGGCAAUCUCUUGAUAUUGCCUUUGCACCGUCUAAAGCAACAGGCAAGGUUUUGGCAUCAGAACUUCCAAAGAGCGAGAAUGGAAGAUGUACUGUGUUGUAUCCAGCUUCUGCCAAAGCAAGUAAUGAGAUUGAGGAAGGCCUGUCAAAUCGUGGAUUUGAGGUUGUGAGACUAAAUGCAUACUCAACAGUACCUGUUGAUCAUGUUGACCAAAUGGUGCUGAAGCAGGCACUUUUUUGCCCAGUCAUUGCAGUUGCUUCUCCAUCUGCAGUUCGUGCCUGGUUCAAUCUUAUUUCAGAAUCAAAGCAGUGGAAUAAUUCAGUGGCCUGCAUUGGUGAGACAACUGCUUCAGCAGCAAAAAGCUUGGGAUUGAAAAAUGUGUACUUUCCAACUCAUCCAGGUUUUGAAGGGUACUCCUCACUCAAUGUACCUGUUCUUUCUUGUGUCAAUCUCUCUGGAAUAUUGUUUACUGGUGGGUAGGGAGCAUCCUUGAAGCAUCGAGGGCACAUGAUAACUCCUAGAAGUUGAAAACUUUUCAGUUUCCAGCAAGUCCUCGUCAGGCUUACAAGGAGGUCUAAGGCACAAUAUCGAUGCACUUCCUAAAAUGUCAAGGGCUGCAAAAGCAGGUUGCAGGAUAGGAUAAAAUUAUUUCAAGCAGCAAGCAAAAAGGUGGCAAAUGUUUUGAUAUUUGGAGAGAUCAAGUACAGUCAUCACAGCUAUAUUUGAAAAUCAGUCUGAAGACCAUUGAGGUUGUCGCUGGAAAGAAAGCUAUUGAGAUGAUAUUGCCAGCAAGGAAGCCUCUCAAUUUGUAAUAUGCGUUUUUUUUUUUUUUUUUUUUUUAAUUUUUCAUUAUAACUCCAUAACAAUCAGUGCAUGUUUAUUAACACUGAAAUGGAAUAUUUGCACUCUUUAUCGAGCUGCUGACAAGAAGUGGAAAUUUUUAUUAGUGUUGUCACUUAUAUCAUUGUGUAUCAUAGCCAAUGAACACCUGAAGGCUUCUAAAGAUUUUGUGCAUGUUACUGGUGUUUCCAGUUUGUUAA